GUAGGGGGCUAGCGUUGUCCGGAUUUAUUGGGCGUAAAGAGCGCGUAGGCGGCCGAGUAAGUCCGACGUGAAAUCUGGAGGCUCAACCUCCAACGGUCGUUGGAAACUACUCGGCUAGAGUCCGGAAGAGGAGAGUGGAAUUCCUGGUGUAGCGGUGAAAUGCGCAGAUAUCAGGAAGAACACCUAUGGCGAAAGCAGCUCUCUGGGACGGUACUGACGCUGAGGCGCGAAAGCGUGGGGAGCGAACAGGAUUAGAUACCCUGGUAGUCCACGCCGUAAACGAUGGGUGCUAGGUGUGGGCGGUGUCGACUCCGCCCGUGCCGAAGCUAACGCAUUAAGCACCCCGCCUGGGGAGUACGGCCGCAAGGCUAAA
rnacentral:rRNA from 1 species